rnacentral:rRNA from 2 species
UCCAGACUCCUACGGGAGGCAGCAGUGGGGAAUAUUGCACAAUGGGCGCAAGCCUGAUGCAGCCAUGCCGCGUGUGUGAAGAAGGCCUUCGGGUUGUAAAGCACUUUCAGCGGGGAGGAAGGCGUUAAGGUUAAUAACCUUGGCGAUUGACGUUACCCGCAGAAGAAGCACCGGCUAACUCCGUGCCAGCAGCCGCGGUAAUACGGAGGGUGCAAGCGUUAAUCGGAAUUACUGGGCGUAAAGCGCACGCAGGCGGUCUGUCAAGUC